rnacentral:rRNA from 1 species
CCUACGGGUGGCAGCAGUGGGGAAUAUUGCACAAUGGGGGAAACCCUGAUGCAGCGACGCCGCGUGAGUGAAGAAGGAUUUCGGUAUGGAAAGCUCUAUCAGCAGGAACGAGACAAGACGGUACCUGACUAAGAAGCCCCGGACAACUACGUGCCCGCAGCCGCGGUAAUACGUAGGGGGCAAGCGUUAUCCGGAAUCACUGGGUGUAAAGGGAGCGUAGAGGGCUGUGCAAGCUUGAAGUGAAAGGCGGGGGCCCAACCCCUGGACUGCGUUGGAAACUGUACGGCUUGAGUGCAGGAGAGGUAAGCGGAAUGCCUGGUGUAGCGGUGAAAUGCGUAGAUAUUAGGAAGAACACCAGUUGCGAAGGCAGCUUACUGGACUGUAACUGACGUUGAGGCUCGAAAGCGUGGGGAGCAAACAGGAUUAGAUACCCUUGUAGUC